rnacentral:rRNA from 1 species
GAUGAACGCUGGCGGCGUGCCUAAUACAUGCAAGUCGAGCGAAUGGAUUAAGAGCUUGCUCUUAUGAAGUUAGCGGCGGACGGGUGAGUAACACGUGGGUAACCUGCCCAUAAGACUGGGAUAACUCCGGGAAACCGGGGCUAAUACCGGAUAACAUUUUGAACCGCAUGGAUCGAAAUUGAAAGGCGGCUUCGGCUGUCACUUAUGGAUGGACCCGCGUCGCAUUAGCUAGUUGGUGUGGUAACGGCUCACCAAGGCAACGAUGCGUAGCCGACCUGAGAGGGUGAUCGGCCACACUGGGACUGAGACACGGCCCAGACUCCUACGGGAGGCAGCAGUAGGGAAUCUUCCGCAAUGGACGGAAGUCUGACGGAGCAACGCCGCGUGAGUGAUGAAGGCUUUCGGGUCGUAAAACUCUGUUGUUAGGGAAGAACAAGUGCUAGUUGAAUAAGCUGGCACCUUGACGGUACCUAACCAGAAAGCCACGGCUAACUACGUGCCAGCCGCCGCCGUAA